rnacentral:ncRNA from 2 species
CGCUUUCGAGCGGGAGAGUUUCGUGGCCACCAGUCACGGACGCCGAAGGAGCAACACCUCUCCGUCAACCUCUCAGGCACCCGGACCGCGCGAAUAAC